UUUUUCGCCUUGCACUGGCGGUCGCUGUUGCUUCGGGUGACAGCGACGAUGCUUUUUUUUCUGGAGACUACAAUGAUAUCCUCACGCAACUAAGGGUCACCUCCUUCGUGUCAAUCACUGGCAGCCACAAUGCGAUCCCUGCUGGUUUUAUUCGGCCAAAACAAAUACCACGACUGG